AUGGCUGCGGACGGCGAGAGGUGGGUGGGCCUGGCGGUGGACUUCUCGGAGGGGAGCCGCGCGGCGCUGCAGUGGGCGGCGGACAACCUGCUCCGCUCCGGCGACAACCUGCUCCUCCUGCACGUCCUCAAGGACCCCGACUACGAGCAGGGCGAGACCCUCCUCUGGGAGGCCUCCGGCUCGCCUUUGAUCCCCCUCUCGGAGUUCUCUCACCCUUCAACUGCAAAGAAAUAUGGGGUGAAGCCUGAUGCUGAAACGCUGGACAUGCUCAACACUAUAGCUAAGCAGAAGGAGGUCUCCGUGGUUUCAAAAGUCCUGUUUGGAGAUCCCCGCGAGAAGCUGUGCCAAGCCAUCCAUGACAUGCCCAUCAGCUCCCUGGUCAUUGGGAGCAGGGGCCUUGGCAAGCUCAAGAGGGUGCUCUUGGGCAGCGUCAGCGAUUACGUCGUGAACAAUGCCGCCUGCCCUGUCACCGUUGUCAAGCCAGCGAGUAACCAUGCCUGA
rnacentral:rRNA from 1 species